GGAGCACAGCCAGAACGGGAGCGAAGACGGUUUGGGUUUCAAAAGUUCGCGGAUGUGCAGUUGCUCGAGACGAAGCGACGGAUGCGGCGACAUCGAGCGGAGGAGAUAAGCUCAAGGUGGAGCUUGCAUGGUGAGCUCGACGUAGCGGUUGAAAAUUACAAAUCAAACCAAGGUGGAGAAUGUUAAGAUUUGAUUAGAUUUAUAGUUGAAUCCUAUUUAGAUAAGAAUUAAUAUUUAAAUCUGUUGGAGAUAAAUUAAGAUUUAAAUAUUAAUUAGAGGAUAAAUCUAACUAGAUUAGGAUUAAUAUUUAAAUCUAUUAAAGAUUGAUUAAGAUAAAUUUAGAUAUUAAUUGGAGUAGAAAUCCUAAUUAUAUGAGGAUUGGAUACUGUUUGAGCAUUAUAAAUAUAUGCAUUGGGGCUAAUUAAUUAAUUGAAGCCAAGAAGCAAAAGGUGCUGCAAAAGAGAGAGUACGGCAGAGACAAAAAGAGCUCUUGGGUGCCGUACCAGAGAAAAAGAGAGAGAGAGAGCGUUAUUUAGUGCACCUAGUGCACCGGUGCACGUUGUCUUUUGGAUUAAUAAAAGACGAGAGAAAAAUAGAAGAUAUUUAGAAAGAAGGCUCGGGUUUUAGCUACUCUCUGCAGAAGAGAAGUCAGGUGUAAUUUUUUUUUAUUUAAUGAAUCUUAUUUUACCGGCAUAUUUUCUGUUUUGAUUUUUUCUUUCUUUUAUGAUUGUAUCAGUUUUUGCUGAGGAGACGGAUUUAUGGUAAAAAUCCGAUUCGACGCUUCCGUUGCGGAAUCCCAACAAUCGAUACCGAAUUCACAGCAGUCGGUAUUAGAGCGGGUUGCGGAUUCACGAGAUUCGGUACCGGGACAAGUACCGGAUUCCCAACAGAUA
rnacentral:lncRNA from 1 species